GUAAGUUUAUAAGCACUUUGGUGGAACAAUUCCCGCUCUCAUUUGAGUUGUUGUAUUGUUGAAGUGAGACAGUUUUCAUUUAUAAUAAGUAACAGAAUGUCAGAAGUUACUCAAUCUAGUAGUUCAGAAAUGCCCAGCAUUGAUGUACCUGGUAAAACGGAUACAGAGUUCAUGAUGUCCAUUGUGAUAAUUUCUACAGCUGACCUUGCCAAGAAUAUGAAGGAAGCUCUGCUCGAAUACCACAAAGCUCACGAGGAGCGAUAUAAACUCUAUGUCCAUGUUUCAGAGAGAGUGAAACGGCUACUGAGUAACUUAGCCGUGCAUGUGGAUUACUACAUAAUCUUGGCAGAUCCGAGACGAGCUGAUGCUGCAGAUAAAAUCAAAGAAGACUUGUUGCAUCUCAGUCCUGUGUUUCUGGCCACCGGUCGGUGUGUGAUAGCUGUGUCCUGGCCAGAGGGAAUACCACCACACCUGGUUGCGACGUGCUCGGCAGAAGUGCAUAACGUCUGCAGAGACAAGAUGCUGCACAAACUAGUUCAGCGAGAAGAGGGCCCUGCUGGGAAGAUUGGAACAACACCUCUGAAUGGAAUCUUACAUGGAAAACUCCGCUUCACACCCCCCUCAGAUUUAGUGAUAAGAUAGCCUGUGAAGAAGGUGUACUGAACUGUAAAAAAGAAAAGCAAAAUAAGAACAGUGAACGGUCCAAGAACAAGGAAAGCAAUAAAGAGCAGGUCAAAACAGCAACGGCAUCAUGGAAGCACCUUGCCGAUAGACUACUACGCCUUGCCAGGACUGCUCGAGGGCUGACUGGCUCUGGAAUACCAAAUGUCACAGGCUGCUUCAACCCUGGCCACUACUGGCAUUCCUCAGCUGGAGCAACAGUAAUGCUACCGUCAUGGGGUGUUGGUGGUGAUGGUUAUGAUAGUGAACAAUGACAAAAUAAUUCCCCCCCCCUUGGGGGGGGUCUUGGAGAAGUGUAAAUAGUUGGGAAAACUGAGGAUUUACUACAGAUAGGUAUAAUUUAUGCUCAAGUAAGCUGUAAUUUAUAAUUCAUUUGUGUAAACAAUAUAUACAGACAUAUUUCUUCUACAAAACAAUUACACUAUUAUACAGAGAGUGUGAAGAUACUAACAACAUUCUGUGCACUUGUUUCUCUAAACACUCCUUUUAGCAACUCAGCAGUUUUCCCUGUAAUGUCAGCUGUUUCUGCUUUAUUUUUUAUUUUUUUUAUUUUCUGUAGUUCUCAUUAUGGUAAAAAUAAUGAAGCUGCUGAGACACCAAAAUUACAUAUUUAUAGAAACAAUAAAUUAAUCUGAUUUGCUAACAAGUGUAUAAAUCUACCUUGAUUGACAACAGGCUGGAAUUUCAAUACGAUUCGUUCAAGAGUGGCUUAAAACUAAAGGCAGUCUUAAAGUUUGAGAAAUAUAUAUUCAUACAAAAUAUACGGAAAUUUCAUCACAAGUAUGUACG
rnacentral:misc_RNA from 1 species